AGAAGACAAGAUGGCGCUAGUUGCCUCGUGUUGUAUCAAAGGGCAUUUUUGUUCACAAAUACCCGCUUAUUUUACGUUAUAGCGACUGGUUAGUUUUGUAAAUUAUAACUCAAUGGACGGGGAAAACGAUUCUGUAUCAAAGAGAAGAAGAUGUGCAGUUAUUGUGAUGUUAUUUGUUGUGAAAGACGGCCCGAAAUUUCGCUACUUCGCAAUACUGGUUUAUCAAACAUUUACAAGCAACAGCAAUUGAACUAUAUGACGAAGAAACCAAUAUAUACAAGCCAAUCAAGUUCUUCAGUUUAAAGGUUAGUUUACUUUUUAAUCAUUAGUUCAUUUAGUUGUAUAUUAUUAAAAUACGAAGUACUGGAACAGUACUCCGAGUUAAUUGAUUUGCUAUUUGUACUGUCUGUAGUCGGAAUAUUUAAGAUAAGGUAUGGAUAAACAGACCCCAACCCCUUCUCUAACACUAACCAAUAAAUGUGUAAUGAACUAUUUGAGAGUUAAAAAGGUUGGGGGGAAAAAUUUAAAAAUAUUUUAAGAAACAUUUCUACGGGGCUGUUUUAUAUGGAAGCAGGAUUGGCCCGGUAAGCGGUAUGAAUUUUGCUUGCGUUUAAUAUAUGAGGAGAUUUUAUCCUGCUUGCUGGGCUAGAAAUUGUUUACAUUGCACUCAAUUGGCUUUCCCGGGACAACUUUCAAAAUUAAUUUUUGCUUCAAAACUCACUAUUUUGUAAACAUUAAAGGGUCUCUGUAAACAACGAAACCGGAAACAACCGAAACCGGAAAUUCUCACCUAAUUUCCUGCAUAAACGAAUAUAAAUUAUAUUGUUAAUGCUAGAUCGCUGGCAUAUCAUUUAGAUAAAUAUCCUCCGAAUGUCAUAAGUCGCAAGGUUGUGUACUAUUUAACUGCUGUCAAUUUUGUAAAUUAUUCAAUAAUCUUAUUGCAUCUUCCUGAACAAUGCUGGUUUUGUUUAACAAAAACGAUAUUGCAUUCACUUUCUCAUUUGACAUCCGAUACGGCUUCCACUAAAAUGGCACGCUUGUAAUUUCGAAAAAAAUAAAUACAUGCUCAUUUAGAUGUUUCCAAUCCCAAUUUAUCUGACUGCAUUUUAAUGGAUUCAAAUAUUCAGAACUUUGUUCUUUCAGUCACAAGUAGUACAAGUAUUAUUGCAUUCAAUGGUAGUAUUUUAUUCGGCUUUAUAUGUGUAUUUUGUAUGUGUAUUUUGUAUAUUUGUAUGUGUAUUGAUUAGCUCGUAAUGUAUUAUCUGGCGCCUAUUUUUAAUAUAUUGUGUGGCUUGCUAAUGUUUCGUAUUAAUGUUAUACAUUUCUUUAUCCUGAUGAUGACUGAAAUAUAGUCGAAAUGUUGGUAUUAAAAUAUAAAAAUUUAUUGAUCUUUGGAGUUACACUUGUUUUAUACAUUUCUUUGUUGUACAUUUCACGCCCUGCGUCAAUUUGACAGUCUUUGUUUAUUAUCCCAGUGAGCCUGCUUGCAGGCUAAAUUUUAGGCAAUUUUAUUCUGGGAAAUUAGGCGGGAAUUUCUGGUUUCGGUCGUUUCCGGAUUCGGUUGUUUCUGUUUCCGUUUUUUACAGAGACCCGCUAUUGAAGCACAUACUGCGAUUUGCAGUCGAGUUUAGAAACAGGAAGUUUUACCGCACAGUUUGAUCGUAAUGUUGUCAAGCGGAAAUGCGGAUGUUUUCAUCACAUAAUUUCUGCGCCUUCUUGCUAUGAUUGGCCAAAAGUGCCUAAAUUUCCAAUGAAAACAUUCACAUUUCCGCUUGACAACAUUUGAGUUUGCUCUUGGUAACUUGUGUGUUUCAAUGAUCAAACUGCACGGUAAAACUUCCUGUCUCUAAGCUCAACUGCAAGUCGCAGUAUUUGCAACCUUUUGUUUUGUCUCUUUUACGUAUGUAAUGUCAAGAACUAUAAAAAUAAUUGCAGAAAAGACUUCACACUAUCGAAAAUGUUUCAUCCCGGCAACCGGGCCGUCCCGCUUGCAAGUGUUUAUAUGGGGACAUUUUCACCUCUGUUCCUUAUCGGGCUGUCUUGCCAAGCGGGCCAGCCCAGCUCCAAUAUAAACAGCCCCUAUGUCAAACAGAAAACCGAUGGCUAAAACAAAACCUGACCCCCAACCUCGUUUCACUUUGCAUCCACGCUAUGCCUUUGCCAAAUAUGCUACCAGGCUGAAUUGCUGAAAGCUGUUGCAAAAAACUGUUUUAUAUUACUACUUUACAAAAUGUAAUAAUUGGAUGCCAUACUUCAGUACGAUUAUUAGUUCGGUAUUAAUAAUUAUUUAUAAGCACUAUUAUACAAGAAAUGUCAACAUUGAAUUUUCCUUCAACGGUUGCUUUUUAUCGGUCAAAAGUUUAACUAUUGUUUUGACAAGAGAAAUGUUUCUCAACAAUUUUCAGAAAGUUUUAGAAGACUUUGGGGCCUGUUUUGAAUUGGGCUAUUCCUUUUAAAAGACGUAACCCCCCUGUCGAGGACAAUGGUUUUACCAUAUCUCUGAAGAAUUCCUGACAUAAAAGAGAUCCUUGAAUAAUUCCUGUUAAUUAAAUAGCAUUUACCCCUGAAGAAGUCAGCAUUUACCCCUGAAGAAUUACAAUUUUUACAUCUGACCCCUAAGGAAAUUGCAUUUGAAAUAACCAACCCCUGAAGAAUUCCACAGGAGAAUUUGUUUACCCAUGAGGAAUUUGGGAGUUAAAAAGGGAGGUUCUGGAUAUUAAAUGGAAGAGCCCAAUUUUCUGGAAAAUUUCCUGGUUGUUUUCCCUGCAGCUUGUUUAUAAACAUGAUGAUAAUUUUCCAGAAUUCUUGUCUGGUUCAAUAGAAAUUUUAUUUUGCAAAGUUUUAAAAUAAACAGAAGUGCAGAUGUACCCAAACCAAAACAGCUGGUUAAAUUUUAACCCACGGGUAGCACCAGGGGCCGGUUGUUCAAAGCUGGGUUAGCUUAACCUUAUUUUAAUUAACUAAAAUUCAAAGCAAACUUCCUGACAGCUUGUUUAUAAAUUUGGAAAUAUUUCUUCACAAAUCAUGUCUGGAUCAAAUUAUAGAAGUUUUCUUUUCUGAUAUUUUGAAAUAAAUGGACAUGCAGAAAUAUGCAAACUAAAACAGCAGAUUAAAUUUUAACCCAGCGUUAGCACUAACCCACCUUUGAACAACCAGACCCAGAUGUGUAACUGUGUAAUAGGACUUUGUGUCCUCAAAUUUCCCUGGAUGAACAUGCCAUGACACUUGCUAGGAACUGGAAGAUGGUGUCCUGGGGCCGGUUGUUUGAAAGCCGAUUAGCUUAACCCUAGGUUAACUUAAAAUUCAAAGCACACUUCCUAACAGCUUGUUUAUAAAUUUGGAAAUAUUUCUUCACAAAUCAUGUCUGGAUCAAUAGAAGUUUUCUUUUCUGAUAUUUUGAAAUAAAUGGACAUAUGCAGAAAUAUGUAAACUAAAACAAUAGGUUAAAUUUUAACCCUGGGUUAGCACUAAUCGACCUUUGAACAACCAGCCCCUGGAAAACACAAACUUUUGCAUUUUAUUGCAGCUUUUUUGGAUUGAAAUUUAUGGAUUAAACAAUCAAUUACUGCAAAGUUGUAGAAAAUGUGUUGAAAGCAUUUUUCAAAGCAAUGACAUAUUAUCAAAUGACAAAUUAUCAUGCAAGCGACACUUGCUAGGAAGAUGGCGACUGUGGGACAACUUUUUUACUAAAGUUAUACAUCUGUCUUCAUUUAAUCUGUGGCUCAGCUGGCUAGAUGUUGAUUUUUGCCUGUGGUCCCCUUUGCAUUUGACCCAAAUUUUUCGAAACUUUUUUAUCAGUCGAAAGUGAUUACCCAGAAGUGAAUUUAUAAAAGUAGUGGGAAUCGAACCCGCGACCUUUGGGAUACUAGUCCAAUGGUCUGCCAAGUGAGCUAUGUGGUCAAGUCGGUUCGAGUUGAUGAUAUUUCGGAACCGAGUCUAGUUCCUUAGAUCAUAUCAUAGAAUACACUGAUAUCGAAAGAACUAGACUUCCGAAAUAUCAUCAACCGACUUGACCAUGUAGCUCAGUUGGCAGAGCAUUGGACUAGUAUCCCAAAGCUUGUGGGUUCGAUUCCCACCAUGGCCAAGCUAACUUUUCAGCUGGUGUGGAUACACAUUCAGAGUAACAUCGCAAACAUCAUAAUUUUCAGAAAGUUUUGACGAUUAUUUUGGGGCAGUACACAGUGGUCCCCCAGCCUAGGGCUGUCUUUACCAAUGCCAAUAUAAAUCUUAUUGGCAUAGAGAUUAUACAUUUGGCAUAAUAAUUUUGUAUGCUGCAUUCAUUCUAUUGACCAAUCAGGAAGAUUCUUUUGUAAAUACCCACACCAAUCAGAAGUCUGUAUUUUUAUGCUAAAACAGAAAUUGGCAUCCCAGAUAAUUUAUAUUCAAGUUUAGGGCGUUUUGCAGCUGUAUAUCUUGCCGUUGCAAGUUGCUUUGCGUUUGAUGUUUGUUCUGGGAUAAAAUAUUGAAUUAUACCUUAAAUUAAUAAUGUUUAGUGAAGUUUAGUUCAAAUUAAUAGAGAGAUGAGUGCAUAAUAAAGUAUUUAGGGUAUUUUGAAGCUAAAUUUGUUUUAAAAUUCGUCAUUUUAGUGAAAUGGUGUGGAACACAAUGCGUUCUUUUCUGCUUGUCCUGGUUGUUGCAAAGAGACAUCUGGCAUUGUAAUGAUUAGAUGAAAAUGUGUCGCUGGCAAACCUAUACCAUGUGCAUUUUCUUGGUGGAUAUCUUGGGCAAAUGUGCAUUAUGAUGGAUAUCUUGGGCAAAUAUCUUGUAUAAAUUGGUACAAUUACUUACCUUAAAUUACUAAAGGAUGAUGUUUUAAGGUUAGUGGAUAUUUAUAAUAGUGAUAAAAUGGGGGUUCCCUGUGAAUAGGAACGAAGUAAGGCUGUCCAAUUAAGUGGAAACAAUAUUGCGGAGUGUAACAAUUUAACAAUAUGGCGAAUUGAUUAAUCUGUAAAAAUGAUGCAUGUUUAGAACAUGCAAAAAGCAAAAAUUGCGGCAUAAAUAUAUCACGAAACAUGCUUCUUACAACUACAUGCUAUGUUUAUUGGAAUUUGAGUAAGUUUUUAGUAGGCAUGAUUUAGGAUUUUUUAUUUUCAUUUAUGAUUUUCUAUAAAUGCCCCAACUAGUUCAUAUAUAAUACCAUAAUAUAUAGAUUGUAAAUUUUUUGAUAUAGAAAAUAAUAGAGUUCUUAUACAACUACAUGAUAAUAAUAGUUACAAUAUUUAGUCAGGGGGGCCACUCACGAAAGUGAUUUUCAGUGGAGCCCUGAUAAAAAAAUGAGAAACAGUAAAGGACCCAGUAUACUUCCUUGGGGUACUCCGACAUGUACUGGUUGAGUGGACGACUGUUCAAGGCCAAUAGAAGUGACUUGAAAAUGAUUAGAGAGAUAAGAAGAGAACCAGUUGAUUGUUGGCUGUGAAAAACCAAUAGUGCCAAGUUUCUGUAUGAGACGAUCGUGACUAAUCGUGUUGAAGGCCUUCGAAAGAUCUAAGAAAACUGCACCGACCAUAGAACCUGUGUCUAAAUUAUCCAGAAUGUUGUCAGUGAAGUAGGUGAGAGCAAUUGCCGUGGAGAGUUUAGGGCGGAAUCCAAAUUGUUUCGGGGUCAGGAUAUUUUCAUGAAGUAGAUAGCUAUAGACUUGACUAUGAACAGUUCUUUCAAGUAUUUUGCUAGCAGUUGUUAGGGUUGAAUAAGUUUUUAGUAGGCUGUAGGCAUGAUUUAGGAUUUUCUAUAAAUUUAGUCUGCGCACAGUCUGCCCCCCGUGGUGGAAGGAUAACAGUCUGCAACCAUUUGUCACUAAUGCAGGACGUAGUCAUAUAAAUGGAUAUAAUAUUGUGCACUUCAGUGGCUUUCUAAUUUUAUUAUCCAAUCAGGUGUGUUACUUUAAAUAGAACUUAUAGUAUGUAAACAAGGUCAAUAGACAAAGUCGAGCAAAACAAUACAACGAAAUCGAAACAUAAACUCGCAAAAAAAAAUGCCAGAUUUGUAAAUUCUACCAAAUUUAUUCAUCCCAAAAAAUUAAAUGCUCUUUUGUGUGACAAUGUCUGCCCAACAGCACCCAGAAACUUUAUGUAAUCUGUAAAACCGGUAUACUCGUCUCAAAAUUAGCUAAGCAAAUUUAUGCAAGUAUAAUUUUGAAACGAACGAAUGAAAAACUGCCAAUCAUAUUUCGCCGGUAGCUGUACAGCACUAGCGUCGAAUGACAGAAGACUGUAAUCCCGUGGGGGAGCUACUAUAAAUUGGGUCCCCAACUGUUGAUAGGAAUUUGAAGUUUUUAGUAGGCAUGAUUUAGGAUUUUUGUUUCUAUUCAUGAUUUUCUAUAAAUGGGGUGCCCAACUAAUUUGAGAUAUGUUAUGAAUUUAUGAUAUCUUUACCACAUAAAAGAGUGGCAGUGUCAUCACAACAGAAUAAAAACCAAUUACUGUGGGCUCUAUUUUACAAAUACUAUAUAAAUAUACAAUAACAUAAUUUACGAGAAUAAAUACAACAAGAGAGUGGAGUAGCAAGACUACGAGAAGUGUUACAUUUCAAACAGAUUGAUUUCCAAGUCAUAGGGUUUUCAGAUUCAUAGUUUAUAUUGAUAGCAGUAAUGUAAUAUCUGUAUAACAUAGUUGUAAAAAUUUUUAACGUCUCUCUGGAGUAGGGGGUGAGACACUGGGAACGAGGAUGGGCUCAUAUUUGUUCUUAAGAGUUUUUUGUUGGGCAUAUAGGUGGGGGGAACUCGUAUAUGGGGGGGGUAUUCAAAUGUUACAUAUCAAAAUCUAAGUUAGUCCUUUAUGAACACAAUAAAACUUAUUUGAGUGUAAUAGCUUUUGUAGUUUUUAUGUUACAUUAAAUCAAACAGCACAAGGGUUUUUUUGGGACACCCAGGAUACAUUUCUACCAGUCUUCCUUUGUAAAGCGAUGAUCGGGCUAAGAAAAUUUCAAUACGUCAUUGCUGUUGAAAUGACUUAAUUCAUCACUAAUAAUACUAAAGCUUGUGUUUCUGAUAAUAUACCGUCCAGUGUCUAUUUUUGACAAAAUUGUUGCACAAACCAUAUUCCAAUGUUUGCGAUGUGACCAUUGCAUAUGAUGGCUGUCAAAAACGUCCAGAUUAGUUAGAUUUUGUUUUCUAAAACAUUGCGCGGUUCGUGAUUUUAGAACUCUUUUUGUGCUUUAAGUUUUUGAACUCUUUUUGUGCUUGAGUGGCAGUUCCACUUGACAAGUAAAAUCCUGUGGCGUUAGACAGUAAAAUACUAAAAUAGGGUGCAUCGGGCACAAUGCAACUUAAAGGGUUAACUAAAACAAAGUUCAUAAAAAAAUUUUCACACUGUACCAUGCAUGCCUGUUUGUAUUUUGAAGUUCCUUGAGUACAGCAUCUGAUGCACAAGACUUUCCUCUUGAUGAGUAAAAUGAUCUGAUAUCAGACAUUUGAGUUCCUUUGCAGCUUAAGGAGUUAACCCUAUUUAUCUUAGAUAACAGCAAUUCAACUAUCUGGCUGGCUUGACAAAUAAACUAUACACCAACAAUGUGUGCAAGGCAAUUAAGUGUAUCCUUGGAAAAUUUUCUCUGAUAUUAUGCAGUGAUGUUUACAACUUUUUUUUGUUCAAGCCUAGUGACUUAUUUCAGUGCAUGAAAAUCAUCCCACCUUUCAUCCUGUACGUCCUGACAAACUGGGAUCAUGUAAGCAGUACAUUUACCCAUUAAGUUGAUUUGCACCCUAAUUUACCUACUUAUAUUAUUUAACUCUGUCUAACAUCAUACAAUUUUAUUAAGCAGGGGGUGCACUGGCAGUUAAUGGGUAACUAGACACAUGGGCAGUCUCACGAAGCAUAAAAUCGGCUGGCGUUGGACAGUAAAAUACUCAAGUAGAGCAUGCAUCAGGGCACAGUACAACCUAACGGUUUUAAGUUUUAUAUCUGAAUUAAUUUUUGUCUUUUUGCUUUGUUUUACAGAUCAUUACUGAACAUGCUGAUGAAAUAUUGAUUUAUAAAAUAUCAUGUUAUUACCAUUUGCAUUCAAGCGUUAAGCGAAAUUACGGUUUGUUUCCGGUUUUGAAAACAUGGGUUUGCCCAAUGAAAACUGUACGUUUGACAGGUCAAACUUGUACGUUUGACAUUUCAAUUUUCAAAACAACAUUUCGCUGGGCGGGACUUACUGUAUAUUAAAAAUAAACCUCUGGAAGGUACGGUAUUGUUUACACGGGAUUUAUAAACUAGUUAUUUACUAAACUUAGACUUUAAUAGUUUGACAUUUCAUUGACAUCAUAUUUUAAAACAUAUAUCCAUUCAUAUUAUUAUAUCGCAUUGAGAUCGAUCCCUUAUUUGCUCUCAACGUUUCGAUCAGUUCCAAGUCAUUGUCAGUUAAUUUGCGAUUAUUAAUACGUAUAGUCGUAGUCCUCUACGGGAUUGUACAGCAAAACUGUUUCUUUGGCAAAAUUCCGUCCAUAUCUUUGCAACUGUUUGCUGUGAAUAAUUUAACGCAGAAACGUUUCGAAAUCUCGAUAUAAGUAACUGGAAUAUAACCUGUUAAACUGUCUCCUCCCUUCUCAAUAAUUGUGUCCAAGAUUAAUACUCGAAAGUCUUCUGAUAAAGGUUUUCCACUAAUAUAGGAUCUUCCAAACUUAUUCGUUUUAAAAUUUCCAUUUGUUGGUUUAAAAUCAAAUAUUCAAAUGUAGUCUGUAUUAAUAAGUCCCGCCCAGCGAAGUGUUGUUUUGAAAAUUGAAAUAUCAAACGUACAAGUUUGACCUGUCAAACGUACAGUUUUCAUUGGGCAAACCCAUGUUCUCAAAACCGGAAACAAACCGUAAUUUCGCUUAACGCUUAACGCUUGAAUGCAAAUGGUAAUACCAAGAUGACAUGCCUCGAAGAGCAAUACAGGAGGAAAUACUAUUUCUAAUCAAAUUACAACAAUACACCAAAGACAGUAGUUAUGAUCACGAAGCUAUGAAUUCAAGACAAAGACGAUGAUGAAAUUGGAUGCCUCGGAUGAAAUGAAAGGAUUGAUCAAAUGUCCAUGGUCAGCAGUGGAUAUUUGUGACUAUAAUAAAUGGAUACAAAGAAACUAUGAUGGAUAAAUAUGGCCCCGUAAUGGAUAUUCAGUUAAUGGACAUACAAAGGUCACAGAAAUGUCUACUUUCAGGUACUGUUCUUUCUUGUUUGCCUGCGAACAGGCUGUAGAUACCAUUGAACUAUAAAUAAACUGGAAGGCUAACUCCUAUGAUGGAGGCCUAUGAUUCGUUGAAGCCGGUGCGCGGGAAAAUCAGCUUUCAAAAGGACUAAGGAGAGUUUUGAGGAGUGAAAAAAAUUCGGUCAAAAGUUUGUUUUCGAGCAAAAAUGUGCAAUAAAAACACUUUUUCCAUGACAACAAUGAUUAGGAUUCAAACCAGGUUUUCCGAUUAGUUCCAACUGUUUUACAUCUCUCUGCAGCAAAAAGUAAGGAGUUUUGCUUUUGUAUUAUGAAAAAAUGACGAAAGUUUUGGACGUGCCGGAGGGAACCUCGCUCUACAACUCAAAAAAAAUACUAUAAAACAUAUUGACAGUCCCAAAACUUAUGCUGUACUAAAACCCCAGGUAUUGUUAUUGAUCCUGAGCUUUUAGUCCUGGUUUUAUUCCUUCUAAAACAUAAAUAAAUUGGCGUUUUUCAAGUGAUGUUAUUUUCGUCAUCGCUCUUCUUGUUGGCCACUAUGAGCACGUUGAAUAUGGCAAUAUUUUUGUCAAUUUUUAAAUGCUUUUUUUUUCGACCUUAAAACGUUCAAUCUUCUUGAAACUUCGCAUACAGAUGUAUUUUGCAUGGGUUUAAAUAAUUCCUGAGGUAUGACGUCUUAGUUUUAUCUUAAACUUUCAAAAAAGCCUAAAACGCGCUGUUUUUCUGACCGUUCAUUAUGGUCGUGUUUUUUCGCAUUUUUUGCUAAUUCGUGAUUUGUUUGAUUUGCGAAUAUUAAAUUCGUUUAUCAUACUACUGAUAUAAAUUAAAUUUGGUGGUAUAAGUAAUAUUUUGGGGCAAGAUUUUUCUGAUCGAAAAAUGUGCAUAUUUUGAAAGAAUUUUUUAAAAAGGACUGGGCUACCUGCAGAAAGCACUCAUGGCCGGCUUCAAAGAUGGCGGCGAACUUAUCGUUCCAGUUUACUUAUAGUUCAAUGGUAUAUACUUGUAUCCAUUGUUUGUUUUGUUGUUCUGGGUACAAUGAAAUCCGGCAUAAAUCCUGGCGGUCUAAAUGUUCAGUAUAUUUACACAUUCGAUCUAUUUUCUGUUCAGUAGACUUUGAUAGCUUCAACGAAAGUUUAUAACGAUGAUUUUCUUUGCAAAAACUGUACUUUCGAAAUUCGUCAGCUUCUGAAUUUGAAAACCGAUCUGAAAAAAGAGGGAACAUUUGAGUGUAUAGUUAUUGCAUGGUUUCCCUCUGUGUAAAUAUACUGCCUUGGUGCAUACGCAUUACAAGCGCAGCAACACAACAGUUUAGACAGGGUCAUGAGGCAGGAUGUGUGCAAGAAAAGCUUUGCCAGAGUUUUGAACGACGACUGGAAAUUGCUGUUUGAUUCUUUGUAAUAUCUUAUUGCUCGUUAGUAAAAAAGAAAUUUGUCACUUUCCUCAUGUAAACCUUUUUCAAAAAACUGGCAUCGUUUGUCUUGGGGUUAGGGGGUACAAAUGGUACCCAUAGCUUAGAGGGUGCAAAUGGUACCCGUAAGAAGACUUGGUGGAAAUCAUGUUGGUCGUUUGGAUCGGCGAGAAUAAGACAAUUAUGGUGGCAAAGUUUUUUUUAAACAUUUUCUCUCCCGUAGUAAGGUAAAGCAUGUAUUUUCCUGGUAGCCGGUCUUAAUUCAUGAAAAAAACAGUCCGCUACCAGCGACUAGGUCCCCUCUCUUAUGGCGGUCAUUGCGGCUCAAUACCUUCAGGGAUAUUCCUUUACAGGGCGGUUGCAUGCGGAUAAUAUGGUCCGUCGUGUGCGCAAAAUAGUUAGGGAGAUAGACAGUUUAGAAGCGUCCAAACUGCGCAAUAUACACUCGCACGAAACGUUGCCAUUUUGCAAUUUGAAUCUGGGUUGUGCGUUUCUGGCAAAGCCUUCAGAUUCAAGUUCGUACGACAUUUAGAAGCGCAUUAAGUGUAAAUACGGCCUUAUUUUUAAUGAAAAGACCGCCAGGGUUAGAGUGUUUUUAUGUUGGUUUGUUAAGGAGCAAACUCGCUUUUUAAAAAAAGAAAUAUGUAUUAAUUUCGAUCCAGAUUUGUUCCUGAACAUGGUCGCCAUGAAAACACUCUGUAGAGCAAGCUCAGCGACGUACGGUCAUAAUAGCGUCGUCGGAAGUUUGCAUUCAGCAUUUCGUUCUAAAUUAAACGUACAUUAUGUUAAUAAGUUGCUAUGCUAGGGUUGCGUAUAAUCGGUACCCACAUUUUAAAGGAAUAACUAAUAUGUAUAAAUAGGGCGUGCGCACGAAGUUUUUUUCGCAGGCCUUUAACUUCGGCGGAAAUGAUAAAAAAGCAGUGUCCGUGGUCGGGGCUGAAUAGUACUGUGGAAGAUUGGGUUGGAAAAUUUGCAAUUAAGAUCUGUAUUUUUGGGCAAUUGUUACUUUUUGAAAAAUAGUAUCCUACUGAUGUAAAAUAACAUUUAAAGGGUUUGGCAACAAUGAUGUCCGACGACGAUGUUUAGCCCUAAACUUUAUUUCAUAAAAUGAUUUAUCUUUGUAUAUACUCAAUUACAA